ACACCGGCGGCCCGAGUGGUGAUCGUGAUUAUUGGGUCUAAAGGGUCCGUAGCCGGUUUGGUCAGUCCUCCGGGAAAUCUGAUAGCUCAACUAUUAGGCUAUCGGGGGAUACUGCCAGACUUGGAACCGGGAGAGGUAAGAGGUACUACAGGGGUAGGAGUGAAAUCUUGUAAUCCCUGUGGGACCACCUGUGGCGAAGGCGUCUUACCAGAACGGGUUCGACGGUGAGGGACGAAAGCUGGGGGCACGAACCGGAUUAGAUACCCGGGUAGUCCCAGCCGUAAACGAUGCUCGCUAGGUGUCAGGCAUGGCGCGACCGUGUCUGGUGCCGCAGGGAAGCCGUGAAGCGAGCCACCUGGGAAGUACGGCCGCAAGGCUGAA
rnacentral:rRNA from 1 species